rnacentral:rRNA from 1 species
UAGCAUAUCAAUAGCGGAGGAAAAGAAACCAACCGGGAUUACCCUAGUAACGGCGAGUGAAGCGGUAAGAGCUCAAAUUUGAAAGCUGGCUCCUUCGGGGUCCGCAUUGUAAUUUGCAGAGGAUGCUUCGGGAGCGGUCCCCAUCUAAGUGCCCUGGAACGGGCCGUCAUAGAGGGUGAGAAUCCCGUAUGGGAUGGGGUGUCCGCGCCCGUGUGAAGCUCCUUCGACGAGUCGAGUUGUUUGGGAAUGCAGCUCUAAUUGGGUGGUAAAUUUCAUCUAAAGCUAAAUAUUGGCCGGAGACCGAUAGCGCACAAGUAGAGUGAUCGAAAGAUGAAAAGCACUUUGAAAAGAGAGUUAAAAAGCACGUGAAAUUGUUGAAAGGGAAGCGCUUGCGAUCAGACUCGCUCGCGGGGUUCAGCCGGCCUUCGGGCCGGUGUACUUCCCCGCGGGCGGGCCAGCGUCGGUUUGGGCGGCCGGUCAAAGGCCCCUGGAAUGUAACGCCUCUCGGGGCGUCUUAUAGCCAGGGGUGCCAUGCGGCCUGCCCGGACCGAGGAACGCGCUUCGGCUCGGACGCUGGCAUAAUGGUCGUAAGCGACCCGUCUUGAAACACGGACCAAGGAGUCUAACAUCUACGCGAGUGUUCGGGUGUCAAACCCGUGCGCGCAGUGAAAGCGAACGGAGGUGGGAACCCCUCGGGGUGCACCAUCGACCGAUCCUGAUGUCUUCGGAUGGAUUUGAGUAAGAGCGUAGCUGUUGGGACCCGAAAGAUGGUGAACUAUGCCUGAAUAGGGCGAAGCCAGAGGAAACUCUGGUGGAGGCUCGCAGCGGUUCUGACGUGCAAAUCGAUCGUCAAAUUUGGGUAUAGGGGCGAAAGACUAAUCGAACCAUCUAGUAGCUGGUUCCUGC